CCCAAUAUAAAAGUUUUAUGUGAGUAUGCGUCUUGGUCGUCUGCGUCAUGAAUCUGAAAUCAAAGAGACAGAACUUAAUUGGGUACAUUCGUUUUAAUUGCAAGGUGUAUAAAUAAAUAUGCCUGUAUUCUCUCUCUGAAUCAUCAAAAGUAUGAAUGUCUAACAGUGUGAAAAUAUUUAUAAAUUUCUAUUAGUUGAAACAAUUCUAGAACUAAAAGGUGUAUGUGGCCAUAAAUAGAUUUUUUAAAAGAAUAUAUAUAAAAUCUUAUACAAACUUGAUUUAUUUUUGGUUUUAUCAAUAAUGAAGAAAAAUGGACCUACGAAGUAGAAUGGCCAUCAAGGGUCAUUAUUACUCUCUGCUUGCUAACAAGUACCCAACAAAUGAAGAGUAGACAGACUUUGUACUCCUUCCUUUUCUAAUAUUUCGGCACUUAUCUGUCAACAAUAUUUCAGCAUUUACGUACACACACACUAUGCAUGCAUGCUUUAUAAUUAAUUAGAAAGACAAAUUAUUAUUGUUGUAUCAUACAUACAUAUAUAGUCAGUCAUACGUCUCAUACUAGACCAAAACACAUAGCGGACGACGAUGAACUAAUUAAAAUAAACAAACUUGUACACCAAAAUAUAUUAUAUAUAUAUUCACCGUCGUCAUAUUAUUUUCCUCUCUGAGUCUGAGAUGCUUCCUUCAUGACGACGACUACAUCUACCUAGAACCCUUUUGGCCUUUCGAUAAUUCGUUACUACUGUAUUAAGUAUUAUUAACCAUUAGAUAUCAAAAAAAUAUAACGGUCAAUCAAGUAAUGAAAGUAUCCAAAUUAUAUAUUUAUAUAUAAGAAAAAGAAGGAGGUCAGAUUUGGUUUGGUUUGAGGGGGGUGGUGGUCUAUUCAAUUACUAAAUGCAAACUUCUAUCGACUACCAGACUUACACAAUAAAUGCAACCACAACCAAAAAAAAAGAUGAAAAUUCACCACAUCAUCAAACACAUAAUUUGGACCCUACUGGGGCUACUGGCUACUACUUCCUUCUUCUUCUUUAUUUUCUUAUUUUCUUUUUCUUUUCAUUCAAUUCUUC
rnacentral:lncRNA from 1 species